AACCCCUAGCAAUAACAAGUAUUAGGGGCAAUGCCUGCCCAGUGACAUAUUAAACGGCCACGGUAUCCUAACCGUGCAAAGGUAGCGUAAUCACUUGUCUUUUAAAUAAAGACUAGAAUGAAUGGCCAAACGAGGUUCCAUCUGUCUCUUACAAACAAUCAGUGAAAUUGAUCUUCCUGUGCAAAAGCAGAAAUAAUUAUAUAAGACGAGAAGACCCUGUGGAACUUCAAAUAUUCAUCAACUAUAACAAUAUAUACCUAUAGGUUCACAAUCACACGCACUGAUACGUAUUUUGGGUUGGGGCGACCUCGGAGUAUAACAAAACCUCCGAAGACAGAACACAAAUUCUACACCUAGAUCCACAGUUCAAAGUGCCUACGGCAAAAGAUCCAAUAUAAUUGAUCAACGAACCAAGCUACCCCAGGGAUAACAGCGCAAUCCCAUCUCAGAGCCCUUAUCAAUGAUGGGGUUUACGACCUCGAUGUUGGAUCAGGACAUCCUAAUGGCGCAGCCGCUAUCAAGGGUUCGUUUGUUCAACGAUUAAUAGUCCU
rnacentral:rRNA from 1 species